UACGGAGGGGGCUAGCGUUGUUCGGAAUUACUGGGCGUAAAGCGCACGUAGGCGGCUUUGUAAGUUAGAGGUGAAAGCCCGGAGCUCAACUCCGGAACUGCCUUUAAGACUGCAUCGCUUGAACGUCGGAGAGGUAAGUGGAAUUCCGAGUGUAGAGGUGAAAUUCGUAGAUAUUCGGAAGAACACCAGCGGCGAAGGCGACUUACUGGACGACUGUUGACGCUGAGGUGCGAAAGCGUGGGGAGCAAACAGG
rnacentral:rRNA from 1 species